rnacentral:rRNA from 1 species
UACGAAGGGGGCUAGCGUUGCUCGGAAUCACUGGGCGUAAAGCGCACGUAGGCGGCUUCUUAAGUCAGGGGUGAAAUCCUGGAGCUCAACUCCAGAACUGCCUCUGAUACUGAGGAGCUCGAGUCCGGGAGAGGUGAGUGGAACUCCGAGUGUAGAGGUGAAAUUCGUAGAUAUUCGGAAGAACACCAGUGGCGAAGGCGGCUCACUGGCCCGGUACUGACGCUGAGGCACGAAAGCGUGGGGAGCAAACAGG